rnacentral:rRNA from 1 species
AUUGAACGCUGGCGGCAUGCUUUACACAUGCAAGUCGAACGGUAACAGGCCUUCGGGUGCUGACGAGUGGCGGACGGGUGAGUAAUGCAUCGGAACGUGCCCAGAGGUGGGGGAUAACGCAGCGAAAGCUGUGCUAAUACCGCAUGUGAUCUGAGGAUGAAAGCGGGGGACCAGGCAGCAAUGUUUGGCCUCGCGCCUUUGGAGCGGCCGAUGUCCGAGUAGGUAGUUGGUGGGGUAAAGGCCUACCAAGCCGACGAUCUGUAGCUGGUCUGAGAGGACGGUCAGCCACACUGGGACGGAGACACGGCCCAGGCUCCUACGGGAGGCAGCAGUGGGGAAUGGUGGACAGUGGGCGCAAGCCUGAUCCAGCAAUGCCGCGUGCGAGAAGAAGGCCUUCGGGUUGUAAACCGCUUUUGUACGGAACGAAAAGGCUCUGGCUAAUACCUGGGGCUGAUGACGGUACCGUAAGAAUAAGCACCGGCUAACUACGUG